ensembl:lincRNA
GUCCGGGAGCCACACACUGGUGCCGCCUGAGACCCAGCGGGCCGACCCCCUGGUGUGUGCCGUGGGCAUGCUGGGCUCUGCCAUCUUCAUCUGCCUGAUCUUCGUGGCUGCCAAGAGCAGCAUUGUAGGGGCCUAUGUGAGUGCGUUGUGGGGAGGGGUGCUGGGGGAGCUGGGCCUGGACCAUGGAAGGGUCUGGAAUGGGAAAUUCCAUCUGACUUGUGGGACGGUCCCUUGCCUAUGUGAGUGCGUUGUGGGGAGGGGUGCUGGGGGAGCUGGGCCUGGACCAUGGAAGGGUCUGGAAUGGGAAAUUCCAUCUGACUUGUGGGAGGCUCCUGUUCUCUGGCUGCCUGUGCGCAUCCCUGGCCUGUUGGGGCCUCUGGGUGCCUCGGGGCAGUGGGCAUGGCUUGAAGUCUCUGGACGGCCCACGAAUGGAUGUGGGCCUGGGAGGGGGGAUGAGGUUUUGUGGGCUCCCUGCCAGCAGCCAGUGUGUAGGGAGCAGCCUGUGGCCACUGCAGGGGGAGGGUCCCCUGAUGAUUGCUUUGCUCUUUCCUGGGCAGAUCUGUAUCUUCGUCGGGGAGACACUGCUGUUUUCCAACUGGGCCAUCACUGCCGACAUCCUCAUGUACGUGGUCAUCCCCACCCGGCGUGCCACGGCUGUGGCCUUGCAGAACUUCACCUCCCACCUGCUGGGGGACGCCGGGAGCCCCUACGUCAUUGGCUUUAUCUCAGACCUGAUCUGCCAGAGCACCAAGGACUCCUCGCUCUGGGAGUUCCUGAGCCUGGGCUACGUGCUCAUGCUCUGCCCCUUCGUCGUGGUCCUGGGGGGCAUGUUCUUCCUCGCCAUGGUGCUCUUCUUCCUCAGCGACCGUGCCAAGGCUGAGCAGCAGUGAGUGGGGCUGAGGGGAGGCCUGCUGGGGAGCCCUGCUCGGGGGUGGCGGAGAGGAGACCUGGGUGCACCCAGUGGGUGGCCUGGUUGCUGGGGUCCAGCCCCUGGGCCUCCCCGCACCUGUGGGGCUCAGUGCCAGCAUUGGCCUGGAGCUGUGGGGGGCCACAGGGGUGUCUGGUGGGUCCAGGCUUGGACUUGGUGGUUUUCGAAGCUGGGACCCCUCCCCAUUCCUUUUCCUCUCACCUUCUGACUUCUUUCUCCUUUCCUCUUUACUCCUCUCUCUCCUCUCCCCACCCCUGGGCUCUCCCACCUCCCCCUGGGGCUGACGAGGUCCCUGCCCAGCACCUCCGGUCAGCUGGCCCCCACAACGCGAUGUGCCAGAGCAGUGCCCGGGCCCGGCCCCUGCUGAUGCGUCACCCUGACUCCCGCCCAUCUCUCCCUCAGGGUGAACCAGCUGGUGAUGCCGCCCGAAUCUGUGAAAGUCUGAGGUGGUGAGUGCAGGCAGAGAGGCCCUCGGGAAGGGGGAAGGCCAGGGCUAGGUGACAGGGAGCACUCUUCCUCCCGAGUCCCCUCCUGCCCCAGCACCUCCCAUCAACCCUGGGCUUGGACUCUGAUGUUGCGAGAAUUCACUGAUGGAGCCAUGGGUCAGGGCUCCUGCUUCCAGUAAUA